UGGGGGAUAUUGCACAAUGGGCGAAAGCCUGAUGCAGCGACGCCGCGUGGGGGAUGAAGGCUUUCGGGUUGUAAACCUCUUUCGCUAUCGAACAAGGCCCUCUUAGGGUGGGUUGAGGGUAGGUGGAGAAGAAGCGCCGGCUAACUACGUGCCAGCAGCCGCGGUAAUACGUAGGGCGCGAGCGUUGUCCGGAAUUAUUGGGCGUAAAGGGCUUGUAGGCGGCUUGUUGCGCCUGCUGUGAAAACGCGGGGCUUAACUUCGCGCGUGCAGUGGGUACGGGCAGGCUUGAGUAUGGUAGGGGUGACUGGAAUUCCAGGUGUAGCGGUGGAAUGCGCAGAUAUCUGGAGGAACACCGAUGGCGAAGGCAGGUCACUGGGCCAUUACUGACGCUGAGGAGCGAAAGCAUGGGUAGCGAACAGG
rnacentral:rRNA from 1 species